rnacentral:rRNA from 1 species
AUUGAACGCUGGCGGCAUGCCUUACCCAUGCAAGUCGACCGGCAGCCCGGGCGUAAUCCUGGUGGUGAGUGGAGAACGGGCGCGUCUAGCAUCGGCACGUGCCCAGUCGUGGGGGAUACCGUAGCGAAAGCUACGCUAUUACUGCAUACGAAAUGUGGAUGCAAGCGGGGGACCGUAUGAUCCAGUGCCUUCGGAGCGGCCGAUGUCAGAUUAGCUAGUUCGUGCGGUACAGGCACGCAUAGCCGACGAUCUGUAUCUGCUCUGAUAGAAAGACCCCCCACACUGGAAGUGAGACACGGCCCAUACUCCUACGGGAGGCAGCAGUGGGGAAUUUUGGACAAUAGGCGCAAGCCUGAUCCAGCAAUGCCGCGUGCAGGAUGAACGCCUACGGUUUCUAGACUGCUUUGGUACGGAGCGAAAAGGCUUCCACGAAUACUGGAGGCUCAUGACGUUACCGAAAGAAUAAGCACCGGCUAACUACGUG